rnacentral:lncRNA from 10 species
GUGAACUCCCAGGAGCUGGGAUCACCAGGUUGCCUAAGGAGGGGUGAACCAGCCCAGGUCAGAAACUGAGCAGGUCAAAAUUCCUGAUCGAGGCUGUGAACAGCCACCGUACUCCAGGCUGGGCAACAUAGUGAGACCCUGCCUCUUAAAAAGAAAUACAAGGCUGAGUGCGGUGGCUCAUGCCUGUAAACCCAGCAGUUUGGGAGGCUGAGGUGGGUGGAUCACCUGAGGUCAGGAGUUUGAGACCAAUCUGACCAAUGUGGCGAAACCCUGUCUCUACUAAAAAUACAAAAAUUAGCUGGGCGCGGUGGUGGGCGCCUGUAAUUCCAGCUACUUGGGCGGCUGAGACAUGAGAAUAGCUUGAACCUGGGAGGCGGUUGCAGUGAGCCGAGAUUGCGCCAUUGCACUCCAGCCUGGGCAACGGAGUGAGACUCCAGCUCAAAAAAAAAUGUAUAUAGGGGCACACAUUUUUACCUCUGGCCUUUGGAUUCUAUAUGGCUUAGCAUGGCACUCCUGAAUCCUGUCUUUAUUUAAAUUUGUGUUUUUUUUCGUCAUGGACCUUUUUUUUUUUUUUUUUUUUUUGCUAUUGCAUUAAAUUAUUGUCCUAAUGUCUUGAGUACUAAGUUUUCUUGGUGCUUAUUUAAAUUUUGGGCCUGAGGUGAAUGUCAGGGGUAGAGCCUUCCAGGGAAGGAGCCAGUAGCUUCAAAUAGCCUGAGGUGAGAAUAAGCACAGCAUGUUUGAGGAACAGAAAGAAGGGAUUGAGGUCGGGAGCUCAAAGUAAGAAAGGAGAAGGGCAGGAAGAGAUGAGGUCAAAUAAAUGGAAGUGGAGAGACCAAGCAGGUGGUUUUUGCAGUAGCCCAGCAGGAAAUGGCUGGGGCUGGUGGAGGGUGGCACCACUGGAGAUGGAAAAGGUGCCUGAUUUGGGAUGUGCCUUGGAGAUUGAACUAUUAGGCUUUGCUGAUGGAUUAGAAUUGAGAAUUGAGGAAAAUGGGCUGGGCGCGGUGGCUCACACCUGUAAUCCCAGCAGUCUGGGAGGCCGAGAUGGCGGAUCGCUUGAGUCCAGGAGUUUGAGACCAGCCUGGGCAACAUGGUAAAACCCCAUCUCUAUUUCUUAAAAAAAUUUAAAAAAAAAAAUAGGCCAGGCUCGGUGGCUCGUACCUGUAAUCACAGCACUUUGGG